CGACGCCGCGGUAACACCGGCAGCUCUAGUGGUAGCAAGUUUUAUUGGGCCUAAAGCGUCCGUAGCCGGUUUAAUAAGUCUCUGGUGAAAUCCUGCAGCUUAACUGUGGGAAUUGCUGGAGAUACUAUUAGACUUGAGACCGGGAGAGGUUAGAGGUACUCCCAGGGUAGAGGUGAAAUUCUGUAAUCCUGGGAGGACCGCCUGUUGCGAAGGCGUCUAACUGGAACGGUUCUGACGGUGAGGGACGAAAGUUAGGGGCGCGAACCGGAUUAGAUACCCGGGUAGUCCUAACUGUAAACGAUGCGGACUUGGUGUUGGGGUGGCUUUGAGCUGCUUCAGUGCCGAAGGGAAGCUGUUAAGUCCGCCGCCUGGGGAAGUACGGUCGCAAGACUGAAACUUAAAGGAAUUGGCGGGGAGCACCACAACGCGUGGAGCCUGCCGGUUUAAUUGGAUUCAACGCCGGACAUCUCACCAGAGGCGACAGCUGUAUGAUAGCCAGGUUGAUGACUUUGCUUGACUAGCUGAGUGGAGGUGCAUGG
rnacentral:rRNA from 1 species